rnacentral:lncRNA from 1 species
GUGCUACAACUCGAUCCAGGCAAACGAAGCUAGAGCUAACUAGCACAUCUGAUUCUGAUUCAUUCCUCUGCUUAGAAAGAAAAAAUGGCAUCUAUCAAGGCUGAGAAACCUGUUGGCACUCAAUGCUGCGGGCAGGCCAAGAAGGAGCCCGCCAAACCCAGCGGUAGCACACCCAAAGAUGCCGCCUCCAAGCCCGCCCCUAAGAAGGCGGACCAGAAACCUCGGGAGCCUAAAAAGAAGGUAUUUAGUCGGCAAAUUUGAUCACUUUCCUAGCUUGGGACUUGGAGACCCAUGUGCUUUCAAUUAGUAGCAUUUGCAUGGGGCAUGCAUUCAAUAUCCCUAAAAAAAGAUAAUAGCAGCUGGUUGCAUGGGACAUGCUUAAAUUAAUCAUUUUAAUUAAUUUCAAUAAUUGAUUUGUUGCUUUAUUUUUGUGAAACUGAUCUAAUUUCUCCCUUUCAUGGAUUGGUAGGCAUCGGGAGGGAAGCCAGCAGCUAAGUAACCAAGUAAAAUUAGGAAGACAAGAGCUUUGUUAUUAAUUAUAUUAUAUUAUACAUGAAGAUCCCAUGGAGCUCAACUUAAAUAAUGGCCGGCUGGCUGGUCAGGAUUGUUGGAAUUAUAAAUAUUGCAAAGCUUUUCCCUUGUAAUUGUUAUUUAUAAUAUCUGUAUGCUGUCUCUCUUUGUAGGCUUGACCUAAUUAAUAAAAAAAUACACAUGUAUUUCAAAGGGCCUCUGAGUUUCUUCAUUGCCGAUUAUAAUAUCUAUAUAUUGUAUAGUUAAA